UACGUAGGGUGCAAGCGUUAAUCGGAAUUACUGGGCGUAAAGCGUGCGCAGGCGGUGAUGUAAGACAGUUGUGAAAUCCCCGGGCUCAACCUAGGAACUGCAUCUGUGACUGCAUCGCUGGAGUGCGGCAGAGGGGGAUGGAAUUCCGCGUGUAGCAGUGAAAUGCGUAGAUAUGCGGAGGAACACCGAUGGCGAAGGCAAUCCCCUGGGCCUGCACUGACGCUCAUGCACGAAAGCGUGGGGAGCAAACAGG
rnacentral:rRNA from 1 species